AACCUCCGCAAUGCGAGCAAUCGCGACGGGGGGACCCCAAGUGCCACUUUAACGGGGUGGCUUUUCUUAAGUGCUUUUGGAUAAGGGCUGGCAAGACCGGUGCCAGCCGCCGCGGUAACACCGGCGGCCCGAGUGGUGAUCGUGAUUAUUGGGUCUAAAGGGUCCGUAGCCGGCUUAGUUAGUCUUUUGGGAAAUCCAGCGACUUAAUCGUUGGGCUCCAUGAGAUACUGCUUUGCUUGGGACUGGGAGAGGUAGGAGGUACUAAGGGGGUAGGAGUGAAAUCCUGUAAUCCUGGGAGGACCACCUGUGGCGAAGGCGCCUAACUGGAACGACCUGACGGUGAGUAACGAAAGCCGGGGGCGCGAACCGGAUUAGAUACCCGGGUAGUCCUGGCCGUAAACGAUGCGAACUUGGUGUUGGACAGUGCCGAAGGGAAGCUGUUAAGUCUGCCGCCUGGGGAGUACGGUCGCAAGACUG
rnacentral:rRNA from 1 species